rnacentral:rRNA from 1 species
UACGUAGGGGGCUAGCGUUGUCCGGAUUUAUUGGGCGUAAAGAGCGUGUAGGCGGCCUGACAGGUCUGCUGUGAAAACUCGAGGCUCAACCUCGAGAUGUCGGCGGAAACCGUCUGGCUAGAGUCCGGAAGAGGAGAGUGGAAUUCCUGGUGUAGCGGUGAAAUGCGCAGAUAUCAGGAGGAACACCAGUAGCGAAGGCGGCACUCUGGGCCGGUACUGACGCUGAGGAGCGAAAGCGUGGGGAGCAAACAGG